AAUGCCCUGUACGAGAUUUGGU
rnacentral:miRNA from 1 species